GUCGAGAAUCUUUCACAAUGGGGGCAACCCUGAUGGAGCGACGCCGCGUGGAGGAUAAGGUCUUCGGAUUGUAAACUCCUGUCAUGCGUGAACAAGGUUGCUUGGUUAAUACCUGGGCAAAUUGAUGGUAACGCAAGAGGAAGAGACGGCUAACUCUGUGCCAGCAGCCGCGGUAAUACAGAGGUCUCACGCGUUGUUCGGAAUCACUGGGCGUAAAGGGUGCGUAGGUGGCGUGGUAAGUCAGAUGUGAAAGCCCGGGACUCAUCCUCGAAACCGCAUCCGAUACUGCCAUGCUAGAGUACUGGAGAGGUGACUAGAAUUCUCGGUGUAGCAGUGAAAUGCUUAGAUAUCGAGAGGAAUACCAAAGGCGUAGGCAGGUCACGGGACAGUUACUGACACUGAGGCACGAAGGCCAGGGGAGCGAACGGGAUUAGAUACCCUAGUAGUCC
rnacentral:rRNA from 1 species